AUUGAACGCUGGCGGCAGGCCUAACACAUGCAAGUCGAGCGGAUGAAGGGAGCUUGCUCCUGGAUUCAGCGGCGGACGGGUGAGUAAUGCCUAGGAAUCUGCCUGGUAGUGGGGGAUAACGUCCGGAAACGGGCGCUAAUACCGCAUACGUCCUGAGGGAGAAAGUGGGGGAUCUUCGGACCUCACGCUAUCAGAUGAGCCUAGGUAGGAUUAGCUAGUUGGUGGGGUAAAGGCCUACCAAGGCGACGAUCCGUAACUGGUCUGAGAGGAGGAUCAGUCACACUGGAACUGAGACACGGUCCAGACUCCUACGGGAGGCAGCAGUGGGGAAUAUUGGACAAUGGGCGAAAGCCUGCUCCAGCCAUGCCGCGUGUGUGAAGAAGGUCUUCGGAUUGUAAAGCACUUUAAGUUGGGAGGAAGGGCAGUAAGUUAAUACCUUGCUGUUUUGACGUUACCAACAGAAUAAGCACCGGCUAACUUCGUG
rnacentral:rRNA from 1 species